GACGGAGGAUGCAAGUGUUAUCCGGAAUCACUGGGCGUAAAGCGUCUGUAGGUGGUUCGAAAAGUCCACUGUUAAAAAUUGAGGCUUAACCUCAAAGAUGCCGUGGAAACUUUCAAACUAGAGUAUGGUAGGGGUAGAGGGAAUUCCGUGGUGUAGCGGUGGAAAUGCGUAGAGAUCAGGAAGAACAUCGGUGGCGAAGGCGGCCCCCUGGGCUGGUACUGACGCUGGAGGCGCGAAAGCGUGGGUAGCAAACGGG
rnacentral:rRNA from 1 species